rnacentral:rRNA from 1 species
UACGUAGGGGGCUAGCGUUGUCCGGAUUUACUGGGCGUAAAGGGCGCGCAGGCGGCUUAUUUUGUCAGGCGUGAAAGCCCCGGGCUUAACCUGGGAACUGCGUUUGAUACGGAUGGGCUAGAGUUCGGGAGAGGAGAGUGGAAUUCCCAGUGUAGAGGUGAAAUUCGUAGAUAUUGGGAAGAACACCGGUGGCGAAGGCGGCUCUCUGGACCGAUACUGACGCUGAGGCGCGAAAGCGUGGGGAGCAAACAGG